rnacentral:lncRNA from 1 species
UUGGCAUCCGGUAUCAUUGUUUGGUUUUAGGAGAUUGGUGUAAAUCCAUUGAUUGGUAUCUGGUAUCCACCUUUGUUUGUGAGAUUGGUAUGAGUCCAUUGAUUGGCAUCCGGUAUCACCUUGCUUUGUUCAUUUGCUUACUUGCUUUGUUGCCUCAUUCCAAAGGACACACUUGAAUCAUCUACAUAUGAUUUCAAGAGGUGAACAUCUAAGAAGUUUUACUUCUUCACCCUUCCAUUUUUGUGUGUGUUUUCAAAACUCCCUUUUCAC